rnacentral:rRNA from 1 species
AAAAACAUCGCUCUUUGUUCACUUAACAUAAAGAGUCGAACCUGCCCAGUGAUUUAAUUUAACGGCCGCGGUACUCUGACCGUGCAAAGGUAGCAUAAUCAUUUGCCUUAUAAUUGAAGGCUAGUAUGAAUGGUUUGACAAGAAUAGUACUGUCUCUAUAUAAAUUUUAUAGAAUUUGGUUUUUAGGUGAAGAAACCUAAAUAAAAUUGAAAGACAAGAAGACCCUAUCGAGCUUGAAAUAACUUUUUUGAAGUUUAUAGCAAAACUAAUUUCAUUAAAAAAUUUUGGUUGGGGCGACUAAGGAACAUUUAAAGCUUCCUAUAAAAUAUAUAAACUUAUAUGUUUUGAUCCAAAAAUUUUGAUUAACAGAAUUAGUUACCGUAGGGAUAACAGCAUAAUCUUUUUUAAGAGUUCUUAUCGAAAAAAAGGUUUGUGACCUCGAUGUUGGACUAGGAUAUCCAGAAAGGUGCAGAAGCCUUCAAUGGUUGGUCUGUUCGACCAUUAAUAUCCUACGUGAUCU